rnacentral:misc_RNA from 1 species
AGGAUGACCAUUGCAUUUUUUGCCCUCUCUGGUCUUGAUCUUCUUAAUUCAUUGGAUAGAAUAGAAAAAGAAAAGGAAUCGAUUAUCAAAUGGGUUUACUCAUUGCAAAUCCUUCCAAAUAACACAGGCUCCAACAUUUGUCAAUGUGGAUUUAGAGGAUCUUCUACAAAUACUGGCAAGAAUUCUCAGAAAACAGAAAAUAAGUUGAAGCUGGACAGUGGACAUAUAGCAAUGACUUACACUGCAAUUGCCUCCCUUCUGAUCCUGGGUGAUGACCUUAGUGGGGUGAACAAGUCGGCUAUACUAACAGCUCUCAGAAACCUUCAGCAGGAAGAUGGGAGUUUCUGCUGUGUACCUGAAGGAAGUGAAAAUGACAUGCGAUUUGUUUAUUGUGCCGCCUGCAUUUGUUACAUGUUAAAUGAUUGGUCAGGAAUGAAUGUAGAGAAAGCUGUUCAAUUUGUGCAAAAGAGUCAGUCAUAUGAAGGUGGCAUAGGGCAAGGGCCAGGCCUAGAGGCCCAUGGAGGUUCAACAUUCUGUGCAGUAGCAGCAUUAUCCCUUAUGAACAAAUUAAAGACCAGUUUUAGUGAAAAAAAAUUGAAACAACUACAGCGAUGGUGCAUUUGUCGACAGCAAUCAGGUUUCCAGGGUCGACCAAAUAAACCCACUGAUACUUGUUACUCCUUUUGGGUCGGGGCAACACUAAAGCUGAUAGAUACAUACCACCUCAUUAACUCAGAAUUCAAUCGAGGGUUCUUGAUGGAAACCCAAGGUUCAAUCACCGGCGGAUUCUCGAAAUGGCCUGAUCACACACCAGAUGCCCUACAUGCAUACCUGGGGUUGGGUGGACUGUCCUUGCUGGGCGAGGAGGGGGUCCUCCCGAUGCACGCCGCCUUAAACAUUAGUCAGCGAGCCAGCAACCACCUUCACAGCCUCCACUCCAAGUGGAAAAAUUGAUGAUACUCCAUUGUAGAUUUCAAUUAUACAAGAAACAAGUUUUUCUGUGAUUAUUCAUUCUCACCUGCUAUUGUAUAUGUAGGAUUAGGUUUCUGAAUAUUUUUGUAUUGUACAGUUCGCUGUUGUUCUGUACUUUCUUUGCCAAAUGUUUUACCCAUUAGGCAUUGUAUUUUAUAUUGAAGUCAAAUGCCUUUACAAGAUUUAACAUUGUUGCAAGCAUAUGACCUGCAAUACAUAAACUUGCAUUGUUUAAAAUACGAAAUAUAAAUAUGUGUAUACAGCUAUGAUUAAAAGAUGUAAUAUUUUUUAUUCUGAUAAGGCAUACUAGAUUUAUAGUUUCACUCAGAUUUAAAUAUCAAUGAGAUUCCAUUGGAAUAAUGUAGUUUCCAAUCACAAAAAUCUUCUGAUCUAUUAAAGUAAAUGUAUUAGACUUCAUAAAAAGAAUAAAUUUACAAUUGAUUUUUUUAAUGCUGUUGUUUGAGGAAUGAAAAUGUUUUUGAAUGUCAAGAAACGUGUGCUGAGUUACUGGUAUGUUGGCCAGCAUCAGAAGCGUAUCUUUGUUAAAGUGUGGUUGUCCUUAUGUCUAUUCUGUGAAGUAUAUGGUUGCAGAAGAUGUUUGUAAAAUGCUUCAUAAUAUGAAUUUACUUGGGCAACAAAGCAGACAACAUAACUGAU